rnacentral:ncRNA from 1 species
AUAAUGAUACUCCCGUACAGCCAUAGUCCGAGCGUUAGAAGCGUCGCAGGCAAAGGGUACGGCUGCAUGAAAACCAUGCAGGGGUGGGAUUCCCGUGA